GCGAGUAUAGUUAAGUGGUAUAACAUCUGUCUUCCAAAUAGAUAUCAUCAGUUCAAAUCUGAUUUCUCGUA
rnacentral:tRNA from 1 species